rnacentral:sRNA from 1 species
AUCUAGCCCCGAUGGGAGUGGUAUCCUUUUAUGGUGGGGUUCACCAUAAAAGAUAUAGUGGACAGCGGGACAAAAG